CACAGAUGCAAGAGGGUCUCAAAUUUUUUGCGGUUUUGAAGGACAUCCCUCCUCACUGCCAUUGAAGUUAGUCUUCUGAUAUGUACCACCACCACAAAGCAACAGACCUGGGUGGAGCCAAGAUGGCCGAACAGGAACAGCUCCAGUCUACAGCUCCCAGAGUGAGCGACGCAGAAGACAGAUUUCGAAGGUAUUCUGAAGAAUUCAAUGGAGAGAAAGUAUAAAAAGAAUAACAGGUAUGAGACUCAUGUGACCUUAAACGGAUCAAUACCUAAUGCCACACACUUUCCAAAAGUGGCAUUAUUCCUGGAUCAUUAUUUAAGAUAAUAAAGAGGUUACCUUGUCUAAUUAAAAAUUUGAAAAA